GUUGCUCUUCCAUGGCUCGCAGAGGAGCCGUCGCCCCCGCCGCCACAAUGGAGAUGGAGUACCUGGACUGGAAGAAGUGCGCGCCUGUGCUCUACGACCUCGUCAUGUCCCAGCCGCUCGAGUUGCCCUCGCUCACCUUCCAGUGGCUCCUCUCAGAGUCGCCAGCCUCCACCCGCUCCCACAGCCUCGUCCUCGGCACCCACACCUCCGAUAACUCCCCCAACCACCUCAUGCUCGUCGACCCGUGCUCUAGCUCCUGCCGCGCCUGGCCGUGGCGGCUGCCACCGAGGGCCGCGCCGCUCCGUCCGUGUCCAUCGGUCACUCAGCGCCGCAUAAGGGCGAGGUCAACAGCGCCGGGUGCAUGUCUACCGCCUUGGGGAGGACGGCGAUCUCAAGGCCGGGAAUCGAGCCCCAGUUCUAGAUGCGCAACAGGUGUUUGAGACAUCCAGGACCGCACCAUGAAAGAGCGGGAGAUGCCGAGCUACAUCAGGAUGCUGUUGCCUCUGACGCCUCUCGUGUCUCUCUUUUCUGCCCUUGCUUCGAUUCGAUUCGAUUUGGAUGUUGCGUUGUUGUUACUCAUGAAGGUCCGAUUUGCUUUACUUCCUGAUACGGUCACGCAGGUCGCUGUUAAGGCCUCGAGCUGGCUGCGACCAAGCACGGCCUCUAGCUCGCCCUGCACCGCGAUUGCAGUCGCGGGGCUGAUGACCACGGGCUGCUCCACGCACGGACGACAAGCACGGCAUCCGCGAUCAAGGAGAACCUGAGAUGCAACAUCAACGUGGUGGCCAUAUAUCAGAAAC